UCUGACCACAAGGAAGAGUAAUCGCCUGUGGAGAAUACGGUUCGAAUUGAGGAGAAAACAUCACAUCCUUGGCUAUUGCAAUCUUAAAAUGAAAGUAUACUUGUCUCUUCUUACAAAAUUAAUCUCCUGCAGGGACAUUACACGGUCAAUUGUUUCCCUGCUGACAUCUGUGUAAUACUUUCAGAUGAAAGCUACGGUUUAUGGCUUUAUUACAGAUUUUGCUUUUGGACUGACUCAUCGUCACAAGUGUUACGUUAGACUGUUGGCUACUCUUUUUUAAGUUGCAAAAGAAGUCAUAAGUAGUUUUCUUAAAACAUCAUUUUAAUUGUUGUAUCUGAACUGCUACUUUUUCUCCGUUUCUCAGAAUUAUAGCACCAUAGAAUGAUUUGGGUCUGAAGGGACCUUAAAGAUCAUCAUGUUCCAGCUCCCCUGCCACAGGCAGGGACACCUUGCACCAGACCAGCCUGCUCAGAGCCCCAUCCAAACUGGCCUUGAACACGUCCAGGGAUGGGUCACCCAUAGUUUCUCUGGGCAACCUAUUCCAGUGCCUCACAACUCUCAUAUGAAAGAAUUUCCUUCCAAUAGCUAAUCUAAAUCUAGCUUUUUCACGUUUCUUAACCAUUUCAGUACUGCUGCCACAGGAGUUCCAGGGCAUAAAUGAGCUGUUCUACAAUCCUAGGUUGUCUUGGAAUUAUAAUGAAAUGUAGUGAAAUGCCAUUUGCAUUUUUUCAAUUAAAAAAUAAGUUGUCCAGGGUACCAGAUAGGUUGGACAGCAUUUCACUGUUUAAGAAGUAAGUGUGCUGUUACAGGCAUUGACACUGUUUCUCUCUGUGCUGUCUGAGCUUUCCACAUAUAAUUAAGUCCCCAUCUCUGCCUCAGCAUUAAUCUUUCAGCUAUGAUCCCUUCCUAACUCAGUUUGGUCGUGAGGAAACAAUCUCAAUUCCAAAACACAUUCUCUGAGUGCCAUUUUGUCCCUUCUCUUCUCCCACACUCAGGUUCCUGUGGUAUCAGGCUGUUGUUUCCAUGGCUCAGCUGCAGGGGAUGAUGAGAUCUGGUACAAUCGUGUGUUAAUCCACAAAGUAAAAACAAGCACUUUGUACUCACAUCCUACACAGCAUUUCAUCCCUCCCACAGGGUCAGCAUCAAACAAUGACACAUUUCAGUCCUUCCUUAUUUCUCUUUUUCUGGUAUAUUUAAUCACAGGACAGACACCUGAUGCUACCUUUCAUCUAAAUCCAGUGCCUACAGAAGGAAUUUAGUGGUUGGUGAUCAUUUCAACAGUGGCUGGGGGAAAUAAACAGUUGCCCAGCUGGGCUAUCCUAUGUCUACUCCAUCCCUGCCUCUGCCCCAGCCACCUGUCCCACCUGCUCCCACAGUCCCAUAAUGGCUCUCUGGUGAUGCCACCCUCCUAACUUGUGCCCCUAAUUGUUCCUUCUUCUUCUCGGAGAAGGGUGUGCCUAGCUUAGGAAACUGCCCUAAGCCAGAGCAUUACUGCCCUGCCAGAAGGGAAAUGUGGGCUCUACUGAAUUAACAAAGAUCUUGGGCAACAAAGUCUUGAUCCCAUGUAAGGCAUUGGCACUGCCUGUUCUGAGGCACCCCUGGCAGGGCAGGAGCCUUAAAUUAGCAUCUGCAUUGCUUUAGGUGCAGUAAGUGCCCAGAGCUGUGCCUCUCAGUCAGUGCCAUCCAAUGAAUGCACCUGGCAGACCUGAGGAACCCAUUCUGACAGGGCCUGUUCUCAGAAAAGCUGGAAGGAAACUGUCCUGCCCUGGGCAGGGGACAACAAGCAGCCUGGCCAGAUGUGCUCUGCAGUGUGGAGUUACCUGUGCCACGUUCCAGUAACCACAGAGUUACCUGUGCAUCAUUCCAUUACACACAGAGUUACCUGUGCCAUGUAACAGUAAAGCAGUGAGCAUGGCAGUGACAGCCUCUGGCAGCAGGAAGCUCAGCACAGGAAUGGAAAUUGUGUUCCUCAUUUGUGCUGAGCUCUGUGCUUCCAUGGUGACACAGCUCCAGCCAGCUCAGGCAGGGAGACACUGGCUGGCAGGCAGGAGCACAGCCACAGCACCAAAAGGAAAGCAGCAGUUAGGAUUUUUUCUAAAUUAAAUUAAAAUUCAUCGAAGCAUUUCAGUUCCAGGGAGAAAAAUAUAAAUAGUAAAGGAAAAAAGUUAUGUGUGUGCCAAUGUUACAUCAGAUUUCUGAUUUACCAGCAGAAGAGCCCAUGGUAUAUGAUGGGCAGAGUUAGUAUCACAGUGGAGUGUCAUUCACAUGGAAUGAUUUCAAAUUUAUAUAUUAAAAUUAUUUCAUCUAGGUUUUUUUAUUGUAUUCUUUGCACAAAAAAAGGUAAAUUGUUCAUUAUUCUUUGCAUCAAGAGUAUUUCCUAAGAAAUGCAUCUUUCUUCUCUAGAAGUUUAGUAUUAAAUCUUUUUCUGAUUCAGUAAUUAGAUUUCUAAAAGUGUAUAGCUCUUCUGGAUGAAUUCAGCUUAAGCCAUCAUCUAGUUUUUGGAAAAAAGUCUUAACUUUUCUUAAGUUGUGCAUUAAAAAACCUAAUGAACAUAAAAUCAUUAGUGACUCCAGGAAGACUUGGCUGAUGUGAUUAUAGAAAUGGUUAGGAACUACAUAAAUUACAUUCUUUACUCACGAUGAUAUACAGCCGCCCUGUAACUUUCAAAAGUUUUUCCAAAAAUACAUUCCACAGAAUUGCCUGCAUCUACUGCUGCUCUCUCCUUACAAGGUUUAAGUUGUGAAGAAUAAUCUGCAUAUCCAGAUGUUUUCUCUUUUGCCUAGAUCUUUAUGUUUUAGUGUAUAACCUCUGCCAAGAAAGAAAGGGAUCCAUACUUGCUGUGGUUUGUAGUGCUGAAGACUGUAACCACGAGUUGGUCAGUGUUUUUUUUCAUUUUGCAAAGAUUGAAGACUUGUGCUUUCUCUAACCCUCCUCAUGCUCUUAGUAGCUGGUUUACCUGUUAGUCUUCUAAAGCAGGUAACACAGCAGAUUACUGAACAAUUAAGGGACAAAAAAUUUGAUGUGAGCUCCUGAGUAAGUUAGGUACUCUUGAAAAUCUCUCAGUCCUUAGUGUUGCACAUAACUUAGUUUCAUUUUCUUAUUCUCCAUCUUUUGGUGCUAUAAAUCCUGAUAAUUUUUGUGUUCCCAGCCAUGCUUCUUACAUGACAGACAGAUGAAUCCUCUCUGACCACUUUUAAAAGACACAGAUUGUACAUUUCAUCCAGCUGCAUUAUGCUAGCCAGCACAAUUCUGCAUUUUAUCAAGACUCUUACCAUUUCCACUGAUGAUUUUCUUAAAGCAGCAGAGCCUGCCAUCAUGGCAAAUUUGAAAUUUCAACAAAGCCAGAAACAGUUAAAGAUGCUAUCCAAAUGCAAACUAAAUUACAAAGCAGAAUAAACACAAUCCUCCCCAUUUAUAUAUUUAAAUCUUACCAUGUUAACUCCAUGCUUCCUGAAAAGCUACGUCAUAAUUUUAAGUAUUUCAAAUUAACAAUACUACUCUGGGGUUUUAUUACCUCUUAAAAGCACAGUUAUUUUUAAAAAGGACUACUACCAUAUCUCGCCUACUGUUUCAUUUUUACUCCCUCCUUUUAUUCUUUUAUUCUUCUUUCCUUUGCUGCACUACUCAUAUUUUUACUCAUUUACACCCCCAUAAGCUAAUUCUCUUUGUGUCCAGUGAUGACUGGAACACGAUAGAUAAACAUUUCCAGAAGCAAAGGCCAAACCUGGGAGUGGGAGCUGAGUGGCCCAGCCUGGACUCCAGACCCACGAUCCUCCUCCCUGCCUUCCCUGGCCCCAUGCUGCAGCACAGCCCAGCUGCACACGGGGCCUUUCCCACACAUGAAACCCACACCUCCCACUGCGUGGGGCAGCUCCCCAUCCACAACACUGUCUGCUCAGACUCCUCUCCAAAAAGAUCCCAGUGCACAAGAAGAGCAUCUGGCCAGGAAUUCCACUUUACCAGAGGGGUCCAGCUUAGUACUGAACUGAUUAAAACUUUAAUGAGGCAGUUCCAGACCUGUUCCAAAGAGAACUUCCUUGUGUUUGAUCUAGAAACCCCCCAGGCAUCACAUCUCCUGCAGACAUAGAAUUAGGUGCUCCCUCCUGGAUCCAUGUAGUACCAGGUACCUGGUUUUCAGAUGGUGCAGCACUGCCCAUCAGGUUUCUCAGCAGCCCCAGGUGGCUGCUAUCACCACAUUUGACACUGUUAAGCCACAGUAUUUUGAAACACAGUGACUUCAGCUCUGCAACAUGCAUAUUUUCUGUCUACUUUAUGCUUUAUUUCAACUAAGUAUUCUAAAAUGACUCAGUAAAAAUGAGGCAUGAGCAUGACCACAGAGAAUUAUGAAAUCAAUAAAAGGUUCAGAACAAUUCUGAAGGGAUUUCGGUUGCCUACCAAAAUAAAAGCCAGACACCAUCUGAAAUACGAAGUUCUGUCUGAGGUAACAGACGAAGUAAGUACAGACAGUUGAUUUAACAGACUCUGAAAAGUGGAUUGGGCCUUAUAAAGUCAAUGGGAAUAUCCUUAUUGAUUGCAGCUGAUACUGGAUUGGAUCCUGCUCAUUUUAGGAGGUUGCUCCACGGACUAGAAACUACCAAAAUUGCAUCAGAGAAUGAGUGGCUUACAGGAAUAACAAUAAGUAAAAUAAAACACCAACAGGAAAUGCAGAAUGAACACAAAAUCGAGUCAGUAUGAAGGGUGGCACCACACAGACACACUGAAGAAAGUGUUUCUGUUCAAGAAGAGAUGUGUGUUUAGAAUCAAACACAUAUGCAAGUACUUGCUUGAAAUAUGACCUAAACCUCUACUAACCCAGCACUACACCAGAUUCAUUUAACAUAAAAUGCACACAUGAAGAAUUACAACAGCCCACUCCAAAUGAGCCGUCAUUUUCCAAUGCUAUUCACAUGAUAUUGUCUCUCUCUCUAACAUACUCUAGGGCUGGUGAAUCUCCCUAAGCAUGGCUACUGGAAACACAUCAAAAGUAUUUGUUUGUAAAUCAGAUUAGAUCUCCCACAAGAGUAAGAUUUCAGAUGAGUUUUCUAAAUAUGACUGGUUCUGUUCUCACUAAGUUAGAAAAACCCCAAAGUAACUUAUUACAUGGUCUUUUCCUACUUUUUCCAAGUAAAGAUCAGGACCACAGGUAAGCAAACUAUUGAAAACAGUCCAAAUUCUAAUGAGAUGGCAUCUGAGUCUUGCAGUGCUACAGCAUGGGAUUUGCUCUAGGACAUUUCUAGCAGGCCAGUAUCUUGAGGCUGGGAAUGGUUUAUAUUUUACAUGUCAUUUAUUUGUCAUUGUUCUUUCUGUUCACACUCCUCAUUAAGAGCAUUUUUUUAUUUUGGGACUACAUUCAUACUUUACCUCCACUGCUGUCAGUCUUGAUGUUCCUCUAAAGAGAGAUACCCAACUAUGUCCAUUCAGCAUAAACAGCAGUUUAUGUGAGUUUAUUUAUACAGAGUGCAGUGACUCUAUGACUUUUUGAGAGUCUCUAAACUCUCCUUUCCUUGACUGGCAGGCUCAGCAGUCCUGCAGAAGCCUGUGAAUCUUCAGCAUGGUUUAGAUCUGUCCUGGAAGAAUAGAGCUAUUUGUCUUUGCCACAUUAGAAAAUGGCUUGCAUGCCUACAUCCUGUGCAAUUAGUUUAUGAACCCUCUUUUGUUAUUUUUGUCAUGUAUUUCUGUUUUCACUUCUGAUGUCUUAUGAAUGUUGCUAACACAAUUCCUUUCUUUUCCUGCUUUCUUCAUCUCAGCUGUGCUGUGAUCCUAAAAACAGCUGAUGCUGAAGUGUUAGAAAACAGGGGGACUUUUGGAACUGACAGAAGUUACUAUAUUGCAGUUUAAAGCAUCAGCACUUUUCUUUGGUCCAAAAGGGUAACUGGAAAUUGCUGUAGAGUUACAUAUAAGCAAGUGAACAUCAGAAAAGUCUAUGACGUGGGAAUACUCAAAACACAUCUGAGUUUUCUAUAAAAAUUUUAUAUAUGACAAAGUA